rnacentral:rRNA from 1 species
UCUGAUUAGCUAGUUGGUGGGGUAAAGGCUUACCAAGGCGACGAUCAGUAGCUGGUCUGAGAGGACGAUCAGCCACACUGGGACUGAGACACGGCCCAGACUCCUACGGGAGGCAGCAGUGGGGAAUUUUCCGCAAUGGGCGAAAGCCUGACGGAGCAAUACCGCGUGAGGGAGGAAGGCUCUUGGGUUGUAAACCUCUUUUCUCAGAGAAGAAGCUCUGACGGUACCUGAGGAAUCAGCAUCGGCUAACUCCGUGCCAGCAGCCGCGGUAAUACGGAGGAUGCAAGCGUUAUCCGGAAUGAUUGGGCGUAAAGCGUCUGCAGGUGGCUUUACAAGUCUGCUGUCAAAGACUGAGGCUUAACUUCGGAGAGGCAGUGGAAACUGAAAAGCUAGAGUGCGGUAGGGGUAGAGGGAAUUCCCGGUGUAGCGGUGAAAUGCGUAGAGAUCGGGAAGAACACCAGUGGCGAAAGCGCUCUGCUGGACCGCAACUGACACUCAUGGACGAAAGCUAGGGGAGCGAAUGGGAUUAGAUACCCCAGUAGUCCUAGCCGU